rnacentral:rRNA from 1 species
UACGUAGGGGGGCAAGCGUUGUCCGGAUUUAUUGGGCGUAAAGAGCGUGUAGGCGGCCAUACAGGUCAGCUGUGAAAACUCGAGGCUCAACCUCGAGACGUCGGUUGAAACCGUAUGGCUAGAGUCCGGAAGAGGAGAGUGGAAUUCCCGGUGUAGCGGUGAAAUGCGCAGAUAUCAGGAGGAACACCAAUAGCGAAGGCAGCUCGCUGGGACGUUACUGACACUGAGGCGCGGAAAGCGUGGGGAGCGAACAGG